UAUAUGGAGAGUUUGAUCCUGGCUCAGGACGAACGCUGGCGGCGUGCCUAACACAUGCAAGUCGUGCGAGAAAGCCCCUUCGGGGGUGAGUACAGCGGCGGACGGGUGAGUAACACGUGAGCGACCUACCCCGAGGCGGGGGACAACUCAGGGAAACCUGAGCUAAUACC
rnacentral:rRNA from 1 species